UGAAAUAGCUUUGAGGAGAGAGAAUAUUUAUUCACUUUAAUGAUCAAGGCCUUUAUUGACUUUUUGGAAAAUCCAAUAUUCAGCCUGCAAGCCAGAGAGAAUCUGUCUCAUCGUGCUGCAAUUUCACGACAGUCCGCAGGACAAUAACCAUUUAUAACCCGCGAACAGACAUCACACGCAGCCACGAAUGGGUAUCUGCAAAGGCCUACAUGUAGAAAAUAAUAUACUGUACAUGUCUGUGCGUGCAGAUAAGACACACAUAUGGCCUUUAAGCAUGUACAGCAUUUAUCAGGGGGACAGCGCAUCCUUAAAGACGACUGCAGACGCGUGAUGUUGUACAAACACAUCAAUGUGGCCGUAUAUAAACGUACACAUGGAAACAUUAACCUCCCCUCACCUUUGUCUGUGGUCACACCUGGCUCCCCAUCCCUUGUUCCCACUGUCACACGCUGUUGGCACUCAUCACCCUGCGGUAGCCAGGGAUGAGACAAAACAUGAUUUUGUCUGGCAGCCAGUUCCUGGCACUGCAUUGAUACAUGGUAAUCCAGCUGUCAGCAGGGAGCUGGAGGGGGCAGAGCGGCAACAGGGAAGAGAGGAGGAACAGAGCGACAAAGACAACUAGAUAGAGAAAGUAAAGAAAGUAAAGAAAAGGGGAAAUGUGCAAUAUCAACAGUUUGAAGUUUGGCAAGUUUAGGUUUGAUGUGUGGAGCAAUAACAACGAAUUCAGCGGAGAAGAAACUGUAAAACUAAAUCCUGACAGUUAAAGGGAGAUACCGUGAAAUGACUGAUGUACUGUGGGAGGAUAAAACUUAAACAGAUGAAAGUUAGAGAACCUUUUUUAACACCUGCAAAUUAAUGGAUCAAAUGACAUCAGGCCAGUACUUAAAAGUGGACCAACAGAAAAUCCGCUGGUUUACUUCUCUUUAACUGCUCUUCCUUAUCACUAGAUUUAAUGUCGGUGGUCUGCUUUUUUUAAGUACAACAACUUUUCUGGUGUUGUUAUUUACUUAUUUAUCUAUUUAAACUGUAUUGAACCUGGAAAGCCUCAUUAAGAUUAAAAAUCUCUUUUACAAGAGUAUCCUGAACAGCCUGUUCCAACAAAGUUACAGACCUACAACACUCUUUAAAGCCCUAGUGAGGAGAUUUUUUACAAUAGUGAAAUAGUUUGAAAUUAAUGUGGAUGCCUUUUUUAUUAUUUUAAUGUCAUUUUCAGUGAGGGUUGUAGGUUAGGGUGACCAUACGUCCUCUUUUACCCGGACAUGUCCUCUUUUUGGGGGGCUGCCCGGCCUUUUCUGGGGGGAGUUUAUAAAAUCCUUCAAAUGUCAGGGGUUUUGUAUGAAAGUUUUGAGUUUGUGUUAGUGAUAGGCAUUGCAGUUCUUUUAGAUAUACUGAAUCACUAGAAUCAGUUCACAAAAAAGAUUUGUUCAAAAGAUUCGUUCAACAAAUCACUAAAUAAUUUAGCGCUUGGUGGGAGAGGCCUGCGACUCCGACCUCCUGAACUGAUACACAGCUGAACGGUUCAGGAUUCAGUUCAAUUCAUAGUUUCUGGGACCAUGAGACAAAAGUGUUUAGCUGUGUUGCUUUGGCUAACAGGUUUGUAAGAAUUGCAGUAAGAAAAAAGGGUAGUUUUGUCCAACAAAAAUGAUUCCAGAGAGUGCAGUUCAAUGUGUGAUUCGUUCACCAAGUGAUUCAGGCAUCAGUGCAUGUGGUCCCUCAUUUGCCGGCUGCUCGACUGGCAAUGCUGUUUCUCACUUCAGCUCAACUGAAGUGAGAAACGAACGAAUCACUCAAGGAAGUGAUUUGGUUCAGUAUGUUCACUUAAAAGAUUUGGUUCUUCUGAACGAAUCGUUUGCAAACGACACAACACUAGUUUGUGUCACAUGGACUGACUGAGUUAGUCGCCCGUAAAAAACACUCGACCUGAACCGAAAAACUCUCAAAAUUUACUAUGCACGACGCCAUGACUCUGCCCCGCAUAGUAGUGUCCUCUUUCUGGUCAGGCAUGUGAAUGAUAUAAGAACCAAAGUUUUCUAUGUCCACAGGGGGUGCCAAGAUUGACACAAACAAAGUGAAAGUUUUAACCCAUUUCAAGAUGCACUCUUCACAUUAGCAACAUUGCAUUAAUAAGAGGGGAGAAAGUUAGGAAGUGCCUUACAAAGAAGAGAUAAAAAACCCAGAGCUUAAAGGAGAAUGAAGGAAAGAAAGAGUUGAGUCAAUAAAAUUAGAAGAGCAAUCAGCCAUGUUUGUUUCAGUUAUUCCAGUAUUAAAAAAAAAAGUCCCUGCUCCUCUGCCACUCUCUACUCCCAAUUCAAUUACAUUUCAGAGCGAAAUAUUGAUCUUUUUACAUAAUACAUCGAUCCCACAGCCUCAGUUAUCGGGCUUUUUCACAAAUUAGGACGUCGACAUGAAUAAUACACGUAGAAGGAGCUCAUUAUAUGUCGAGUUUAUUUGUUAUGCUUUAAUGGAGUGGUAAUCUCCAGAGUUAAUUAAAAAAACAAAACAAAACAAAAACAAUUCAGAGGUGCAGAAAACUGAAAGUGUCUACUUGAGGCCUGCUACAAAAGCCAAAGACAGGCCAUGUUCAAAGCCUGUUUUUUUAACUGAAUCAAACAUGUAAAAAAAAAAAUAUUGAUUUUCUCAUUGUUUGAUGAUAACAAUGAACUGUGGCUCUACUGGUUUAAAAACUGUGAGGAUCUAUCACUGGAUCUUUUCCAAUCUCAAUAUUCCCUUAAUCAAUUAAGAAUUUUAUCAGUGACUGUUUCCAAGAAGUAAGCAUAGUGCAGUUGAAGUCUCCUUCUUACACAGUAUCUUUACAUUUAUACCUAUUUUAUUUAUAUCUAUUUAAACACUAACCCCCAAUUUCCACUGCAUCUGGAACGGCUCAGAUCCGGAACAGCAGGGAAUUUUGCCGUCCUCCAAAUCCUACUGGAUCCAUUUGUGAGGUGAAUUUUCAUGGCGGAUAAUAGAUAGCUGGAAUCGCGAGAACCUGCGGAUUCACAUGCAAUUGCACGAUAAUGAGUUGUCUCUAUAAAGACAGCCACAUAACCCGUCUUUUCAUAGCGGUUUCGGAUGUGGUGGAAAUUGGGGGUUAUCUGACUAUCUCAAGUCAACUGUUUACUGACAUAACUAUAACUGCCCUGUCAGUAAAAUUAAAGACCUGUGGACCAAAGACUUGGUUAUCAGUCGAGUCUUUAACUUUUUUCCCAACAUCCUGAACAGUCCUCCACUUCACACAGAUGCAUUAGUGUGUAAACAUAUCUGUGAUACUGUAUUAAUGUCAGCCAGGGUAAAUCUAUCUGUGUUCACCAUCUCUUCUUUUGCAACAGCAAUCUCUGAAAAGCAUUUAAUGACCCUACUGUAAUGGCGAGAGAAGCUAUCAGGAGACAUGCUGUCUCCUCUGAUGAAUGUCUACAGACUGAGUAUUAAUGAUAUAUUGAUUUUGCAGUUAGAUGUUGGGCUUGAUUUGAGGGCAAAUGUCUAGUGAAAGCUUUUCAAUAAAUUUUCUUCAGUGAGGGACAUUUUUUCUCCACUUCAUGGUAAACAUACAUCCUAACAACAAAAGGCCCAUUUUCAGCUUUAUAAUCACGAGUCAUUUAUCUCAGUGUGGUUGGUGUAUGUCCCAUUCAGGACCCCCAUACGUCCCCUGAUCUCUGACUGCAGCCUGUUGUCCGGCCACUCCCCCUUAAGUCCUCUCAUCAGCAGGCACAAUAAAGCACCUGGAUCUCCCCUGAGCCUCUUUUCUCCUUACCUGGUUUGCAGCUGAUGGUCUUUUUAAGGCUGUUUGAAGUGUAUGUUGUAUUUCUGUUGGAUUUCAAUAAUUUGUUUUCUUUUUAGUGCUGCUUUUCCAUUAUGGGCUCAUGGUUCUCUGGUUAAUUUAGCCUGUUUUUCCACCUUCUGUGGUGAAUUGUUUUGUUUCGCUCCUUCAUUAGUUGGUUAAGCCUGUUUUUCUCUUCUCUUUGGUUUAGUUAAUGUGUUCAGUUUGAAUAUAUGCUAGUUAGUUGCUUUGUUCUCAUUUUUUGGUUUGCCCCAUUCAUUCAUUUGUUCCAUUUGAGUUUUGGAUAAGCCUUUUUUCCUUAGGUCUGCCCUUUAAUGUUUUUGUUUGAUUGUCGCUGUUCAGUUUGCUUAUCUCCUUUCUGAAAAGGUUAUUUUUGUUUGAGUUGUUUUUUUGUUUUGUUUUUCUCGAUCCUUUGCCUCGUAAGCCAACUGGGUUGUUUUGAGUUUUGCUUGUUUUUUUUAACUAUUUAAUUCUUCUUUCAGUAGCAGAGCGUCACCUAAUUGGGAGAUUAGGCAUCAAGGAUGAGGGGCCCCCCUUUUUGCAUGUGAGUUAAGCACACUGGGACACAUGGACCACACCUGCGUUGUUGUGAGGAUGCUAUGUUGCACUUGUAAUAGCACCCCUGCACUUUCCCUUGUGUAGCCCCAGCAGCCUCAGCUCUGUUUAGUCAAAUUUAUUUCUUUUUGCAUUUAAAUCUUUGGGUAACUGAAUUUUAAAGAUUAUAUCCCGAAUGUUUUUCACAACUUGUUGCAAUAAAGGAUUGUUUUUCCUUCUCCAACUUAAAUUUGUGUAGUUAUGGUCUUGCGUAGUCUAACCUUUUCCAGUUUUUUGCUGCAUCAGCCAUUACUAGUUGUAGUUUAUUUUUAUUCAAUAAAAUAUUUCUCUUCUUUUUGGAAACGUGUCUCUGUCUCCUCAGUUUUAAACUUGUGUGCCUUCACUUUCCAGAAGGGUCUGAGUUGAGAUCUUACUCCCUGGGGUGUAAGUCUGCAGGUGGUGUUGCAGAAUUAUCAUUAAACUCUAAAUCUAUUCAAACGUGCUACAAUCUUCGGCAUAACUGACACAUAGUGGGUGUUGUGAGAUUAUCAUAUGAUGGCUAAAGUAAAAUAUUUAUUUGGUUAAGUUCAUUUGAAGAGCUGUUUGGUUUUUUUUUUGUUUGUUUGUUUGUUUUUUUUGGCGCCCCCCUGUGGAUGAAGCAGUUUUUAGUGAUUUGUUCCAUCAGCUGUUGGAACACUUGAUAUUUCAGAUACUAAGGGAUAUUGGACCGAGUUGAUCUGUAUCUAUAGUGCACCAUCAGACUGAUUAUUGUAUUUGAAACAGCCGGAAAUCAUGCAGGUUCACCAUGGCGAUCCAGAGGAACCUACAGCAUGAUGGAGCUCAAAGACUCCCAGAAAAGACUGGUUAGUGACUUUAUCGGACAUGAUUCAAGGUUAAGGGGACACAGACAGUGCUCAGUGUACACCAGUUCCCCUGACAGUCUUAACCUAUAACAGUAACUUAGUGUUUCAUAUAUUACUGCACAAAAAUGUCACCCAUGGGGGCUUAUGUAUUUAAUAAAUGCAUGAAUUUCUGUUUGUUUAUUACGUGUUUUACUGUUGCUGUUGUGUUGCACAGAUAUUUGUUUCACCGUGAGCCUACUCUAAGGCACUGGUUUAGCUCAAUGGGUAAAUUAUGUGCCUCAUAAAAAAGGCUUUUGUACUGUUUCCACUGCAGGUCAGUAACCACAAAUGACCUCAGUGGGCUACCUACUAUCAUACUUUUGAAAUAAGGCAUAAAUACAUGCUGGUGUGAUCAUUUUAAGUCGGUAGUAGGGUUUUUUUUCUUUAUUUUGCUUUUUCUGACAACAAACUGUGGAAAUACUUGGUCUGAGAGUUGCCUCAGAUUAGACAAACUAUACAGGCUUAGCAAUGAUGGAGAAAAGGAGUUGUUUUGGUCAGAUAAUGAAACUUACAAAGACAACCAAAGUCACUGUGCUUGUGUUACUGCUCCACAUGUGACCACAUUCACAAAAAAAUUGGUCCGAUCAUUUGUAAACAACUUAUCAUUCAUGUUAUUUAUAUGUUAAUGUGCAUCUCCAGCUCUGGCGUUAAAUCCUGCCAACAUAUUUCAGAUUGUAAGAUGUGUUUUUCAUGCUGUGUUGCUGUGUUUACUCGGCAGAUAAAACUCAGUGUGCCUAACAUGGCUGUAAAGAUUUAAAGUUUGCUGUUUACUCCGUGUUUCUCGCUGUAGCGCUGGAGCACAGUUGGCAUACACAAAUAUUCUUAGCGCUACUUAACUCCCCGUGGAUACAUAUAUUGAACCGAACCA